rnacentral:rRNA from 1 species
AUUGAACGCUGGCGGCAGGCCUAACACAUGCAAGUCGAGCGGAUGAAGGGAGCUUGCUCCUGGAUUCAGCGGCGGACGGGUGAGUAAUGCCUAGGAAUCUGCCUGGUAGUGGGGGAUAACGUCCGGAAACGGGCGCUAAUACCGCAUUCGUCCUGAGGGAGAAAGUGGGGGAUCUUCGGACCUCACGCUAUCAGAUGAGCCUAGGUCGGAUUAGCUAGUUGGUGGGGUAAAGGCCUACCAAGGCGACGAUCCGUAACUGGUCUGAGAGGAUGAUCAGUCACACUGGAACUGAGACACGGUCCAGACUCCUACGGGAGGCAGCAGUGGGAAAUAUUGGACAAUGGGCGAAAGCCUGAUCCAGCCAUGCCGCGUGUGUGAAGAAGGUCUUCGGAUUGUAAAGCACUUAAAGUUGGGAGGAAGGGCAGUAAGUUAAUACCUUGCUGUUUUGACGUUACCAACAGAAUAAGCACCGGCUAACUUCGUG